rnacentral:rRNA from 1 species
GACGGAGGAUGAAGCGUUAUCCGGAAUGAUUGGGCGUAAAGCGUCCGCAGGUGGCUCUGUAAGUCUGUCGUUAAAGAAUGGGGCUCAACCCCAUACAGGCGAUGGAAACUACAAGGCUAGAGUUUGGUAGGGGUCACGGGAAUUCCUAGUGUAGCGGUGAAAUGCGUAGAUAUUAGGAAGAACACCAGCGGCGAAAGCGCGUGACUGGGCCAGUACUGACACUCAUGGACGAAAGCUAGGGGAGCGAAAGGG